CCUUUGUACACACCGCCCGUCGCUACUACCGAUUGAAUGGCUCAGUGAGGCUUUCGGACUGACUCCAGGAGGUCGGCAACGACCACCCAGAGAUGGAAAGUUAGUCAAACUUGGUCAUUUAGAGG
rnacentral:rRNA from 1 species